UACGUAGGGGGCAAGCGUUAUCCGGAUUUACUGGGUGUAAAGGGAGCGUAGACGGCUGUGCAAGUCUGGAGUGAAAGGCGGGGGCUCAACCCCCGGACUGCUCUGGAAACUGUACGGCUGGAGUGCAGGAGAGGUAAGUGGAAUUCCUAGUGUAGCGGUGAAAUGCGUAGAUAUUAGGAGGAACACCAGUGGGGAAGGCGGCUUACUGGACUGUAACUGACGUUGAGGCUCGAAAGCGUGGGGAGCAAACAGG
rnacentral:rRNA from 1 species